UAGGGAAUCUUCCACAAUGGACGCAAGUCUGAUGGAGCAACGCCGCGUGAGUGAAGAAGGUCUUCGGAUCGUAAAGCUCUGUUGUUGGUGAAGAAGGAUAGAGGCAGUAACUGGUCUUUAUUUGACGGUAAUCAACCAGAAAGUCACGGCUAACUACGUGCCAGCAGCCGCGGUAAUACGUAGGUGGCAAGCGUUGUCCGGAUUUAUUGGGCGUAAAGCGAGCGCAGGCGGAAUGAUAAGUCUGAUGUGAAAGCCCACGGCUCAACCGUGGAACUGCAUCGGAAACUGUCAUUCUUGAGUGCAGAAGAGGAGAGUGGAACUCCAUGUGUAGCGGUGGAAUGCGUAGAUAUAUGGAAGAACACCAGUGGCGAAGGCGGCUCUCUGGUCUGCAACUGACGCUGAGGCUCGAAAGCAUGGGUAGCGAACAGGAUUAGAUACCCUGGUAGUCCAUGCCGUAAACGAUGAGCGCUAGGUGUUGGGGACUUUCCGGUUCUCAGUGCCGCAGCAAACGCAUUAAGCGCUCCGCCUGGGGAGUACGACCGCAAGGUUGAA
rnacentral:rRNA from 1 species